CUACGGGUGGCAGCAGUGAGGAAUUUUGGACAAUGGGGGAAACCCUGAUCCAGAGAUGCCGCGUGAGUGAAGAAGGUAUUUUUUAUUGUAAAACUCUUUUUGUGUGAGAAGAUAAUGACGGUAUCCACAGAAUAAGCACCGGCUAACUCUGUGCCAGCAGCCGCGGUAAUACAGAGGGUGCUAGCGUUGUUCGGAAUUACUGGGCGUAAAGCGCAUGUAGGCGGUUUUUUAAGUUAAGAAUUAAAACUUAUGGCUCAACCAUAUUAUGUUCUUAAUACUGAAAAACUGGAGAAUGGAAGAGGUAAGUGGAAUUUCUAGUGUAGGGGUGAAAUCCGUAGAUAUUAGAAGGAACAUCGUAAGCGAAGGCGACUUACUGGGACAUUUCUGACGCUGAGAUGCGAAAGCGUGGGGAGCAAAUAGGAUUAGAUACCCGCGUAGUC
rnacentral:rRNA from 1 species